GACGAACCCUGCUAACGUUAUUCGGAAUUACUGGGCUUAAAGGGUGCGUAGGCGGUGCGGAAAGUUGGGUGUGAAAUCCCUCGGCUCAACCGAGGAAUUGCGCCCAAAACUGCCGCACUAGAGGAAGACAGAGGUACGCGGAACUUAGGGUGGAGCGGUGAAAUGCGUAGAUAUCAGGAGGAACACCGGUGGCGAAGGCGGCGGCCUGGCCCAAUACUGACACUGAGAUGCGAAAGCGUGGGGAUCAAACAGG
rnacentral:rRNA from 1 species